rnacentral:rRNA from 1 species
CGUGACGGCGCGAGCAGGUGCGAAAGCAGGUCAUAGUGAUCCGGUGGUUCUGAAUGGAAGGGCCAUCGCUCAACGGAUAAAAGGUACUCCGGGGAUAACAGGCUGAUACCGCCCAAGAGUUCAUAUCGACGGCGGUGUUUGGCACCUCGAUGUCGGCUCAUCACAUCCUGGGGCUGAAGUAGGUCCCAAGGGUAUGGCUGUUCGCCAUUUAAAGUGGUACGCGAGCUGGGUUUAGAACGUCGUGAGACAGUUCGGUCCCUAUCUGCCGUGGGCGCUGGAGAACUGAGGGGGGCUGCUCCUAGUACGAGAGGACCGGAGUGGACGCAUCACUGGUGUUCGGGUUGUCAUGCCAAUGGCACUGCCCGGUAGCUAAAUGCGGAAGAGAUAAGUGCUGAAAGCAUCUAAGCACGAAACUUGCCCCGAGAUGAGUUCUCCCUGACUCCUUGAGAGUCCUGAAGGAACGUUGAAGACGACGACGUUGAUAGGCCGGGUGUGUAAGCGCAGCGAUGCGUUGAGCUAA